rnacentral:snRNA from 1 species
GUGCUUGCCUCAGCAGCACAUACACUAAAAUUGGAACUAUACAGAGAAGAUUAGCAUGGCCCUU